rnacentral:misc_RNA from 1 species
GAUGAAGAACGAGCGAAAUGCGAUACUUGGUGUGAAUUGCAGAAUCCCGUGAACCAUCGAGUCUUUGAACGCAAGUUGCGCCCGAAGCCAUUAGGCCGAGGGCACGCCUGCCUGGGCGUCACACGUCGUUGCCCCCCCCCAUCUACUCCUUCGGGAUUGCGGGGGGCGGAUGAUGGCCUCCCGUGCGCCUCGCCGCGCGGUUGGCAUAAAUGCCAAGUCCUCGGCGACGCACGCCACGACAAUCGGUGGUUGCGAAACCUCGGUUGCCCGUCGUGUGCGGUCGUCGCGCAUCGAGGGCUCGAAAAAAUUGCCGAGUUCCGGCUCGGCUUUCAACGCGACCCCAGGUCAGGCGGGGUUACCCGCUGAAUUUAAGCAUAUCAAUAAGCGGAGGA